AACGAACGCUGGCGGCAUGCCUAACACAUGCAAGUCGAACGAGACCUUCGGGUCUAGUGGCGCACGGGUGCGUAACGCGUGGGAACCUGCCCUUAGGUUCGGAAUAACUCCCCGAAAGGGGUGCUAAUACCGGAUAAUGUCUUCGGACCAAAGAUUUAUCGCCUUUGGAUGUGCCCGCGUUGGAUUAGCUAGUUGGUAGGGUAAAAGCCUACUAAGGCGACGAUCCAUAGCUGGUCUGAGAGGAUGAUCCGUCACACUGGGACUGAGACACGGCAGAGAAUCCUACGGGAGGGAGCAGUGGGGAAUAUUGGACAAUGGGCGAAAGGCUGAUCCAGCAAUGCCGGGUGAGUGAUGAAGGCAGUAGGGUUGUAAAGCUCUUUUACCCGGGAUGAUAAUGACAGUACCGGGAGAAUAAGCUCCGGCUAACUCCGUG
rnacentral:rRNA from 1 species